GCCGAAAAUUGAGUUCCUGAAAUUUGCCUCCCAGACGAGAAUCGAACAAGGAACCUUUGUGUUAGUAGUCCGAUGCACUAUCCACUACACCACGGCAUUUAAGAAUUAACUGGUUGUUAGCUUGAACUAUGGCAAAUGGUGUGCAGAGCACUAAGCAAGCUUGAUCUUCAUUUCCUAGAAGAAGGCUGUUUAAUUCCUUAAUAGUCAUAAUACCAAAUUAUUUGAGUGUAUGUCACUCAGU
rnacentral:lncRNA from 1 species